UCCCAGUUGUUUGGGAAGAUGUCAGAGGACUCCACCAGAUAGUGGGAGACAGCCCUUGUCUGGAAAAUCCUGCCCGCCGGCAAGAAUCUACAGUUUUUAGAACAGGCCAUCCACCAACUAGGUGGGUAAUUGAGGGUUUUCUAAGCAAAAAAACGUAAGUUACAUUGUGUCCAGCAAAGGCAGAGAGGGUUGGGACAAGCUACAGAGACUGCCCCAGCCCCAGGAGGCUGAGGUGGAGUCUCCAGGCUCUGCCCCUCCAGGGGGUCCUGUGCCUUCCUAGUAGGUCCCCCUUAGAUGGCCAAGGGCUCCCCAAGCAAUGAGUACCGGUGCCCGUCAUGCUCUGGCCUCAAGUCUCUGCUAUGCCACUUCAAGGAAACAGCAGUAGAGAAGGCUGAGGGAGCAGCAGCCUCCAGACCAAAGCCUGACCCUGGGGAGUGAGGGUCCCCAGCACGUGUAGCAGCUGUGCUUCAGUCUUUUGUGUAAAAAGGCGCAAGAAUGAAAGCCGCAGCUAGGGAACACGUCCAGGAACAGAGUCAAGAACACGGAAAGCGUUCAGACCGAAGGCACCAUUCCUCAAGUCAAAGAUGUGAGACAGGAAGUUUCAUCCUUGCUGCCAUCUGUCUAAAUCCUUUCCUGAAGUUUCUUUUCUGAGACCCAGAGGCUCCAACACUGUUAGGCAGCUCACACUGUACCAGGCUUAAAGUGAAAGUGGAUUCCACAUCCAUCCUCCAGUUCGCAUACAUUCACACAAGGAAGAAGGGUUCUGUGAAUGCUGCCAUCUUCAGAGUGCUCAGCCCCAGGGCUUUGCCCGAGAACACCAUCCGUAUACAGGAGCAGAUCAAAUCAUCACCCAGCUCAGCCACGACUUUAUGGGCAUCCCCUCUCGGGCCAGGCUCCCCACCUGGGGGGGUUCCCUGGCUUCUGACUGUGACCCACUCUGUCCCAAGUCUCCACCCCCUAGCCAGCCGUCUCAUCUCAGAGUAGCAUCUCCUGGGAUGAAGGAAAGUAGCAGCCAGACUCCCAGG
rnacentral:lncRNA from 1 species